AUUGAACGCUGGCGGCAUGCCUUACACAUGCAAGUCGAACGGCAGCAUGGAGAGCUUGCUCUCUGAUGGCGAGUGGCGAACGGGUGAGUAAUGCAUCAGAACGUACCGUGUAAUGGGGGAUAACGUAGCGAAAGUUACGCUAAUACAGCAUACGACCUGAGGGUGAAAGCAGGGGAUCGCAAGACCUUGCGUUAUACGAGGUGCCGAUGUCAGAUUAGCUAGUUGGUGAGGUAAAGGCUCACCAAGGCGACGAUCUGUAGCGGGUCUGAGAGGAUGAUCCGCCACACUGGGACUGAGACACGGCCCAGACUCCUACGGGAGGCAGCAGUGGGGAAUUUUGGACAAUGGGGGCAACCCUGAUCCAGCCAUGCCGCGUGAGUGAAGAAGGCCUUCGGGUUGUAAAGCUCUUUCGGCCGGAAAGAAAUGGCUCUGGUUAAUACCUGGGGUCGAUGACGGUACCGGAAGAAUAAGGACCGGCUAACUACGUGCCAGCAGCCGCGGUAA
rnacentral:rRNA from 1 species